ACCUACGGGGCGCAGCAGUAGGGAAUAUUGCUCAAUGGGGGAAACCCUGAAGCAGCAACGCCGCGUGGAGGAUGAAGGUUUUCGGAUUGUAAACUCCUUUUGUUAGAGAAGAUAAUGACGGUAUCUAACGAAUAAGCACCGGCUAACUCCGCGCCAGCAGCCGCGGUAAUACGGAGGGUGCAAGCGUUACUCGGAAUCACUGGGCGUAAAGAGCGCGUAGGCGGGAUAGCAAGUCAGAUGUGAAAUCCUAUGGCUUAACCAUAGAACUGCAUUUGAAACUGUAGUUCUUGAGUGAUGGAGAGGCA
rnacentral:rRNA from 1 species